rnacentral:tRNA from 1 species
GUCUUCGUGGUGUAACGGUAGCACACUCGAUGAGUAUUCGAGAGGUACAGGUUCGAGUCUCGGCGAAGGUA